rnacentral:rRNA from 1 species
CAAUAGCGUAUAUUAAAGUUGUUGCAGUUAAAAAGCUCGUAGUUGGAUUUGUGGUGUACGCCGGCGGCCCGUCGCAAGACGGAGCUUGCUUGCGCCGCCAUCCUUGGGUGGAUCCUGUGUGGCAUUCAGUUGUCGUGCAGGGGAUGCCCAUCGUUUACUGUGAAAAAAUUAGAGUGUUCAAAGCAGGCUUAUGCCGUUGAAUAUAUUAGCAUGGAAUAAUAAGAUAGGACCUUGGUACUAUUUUGUUGGUUUGCGCACCAAGGUAAUGAUUAAUAGGGACAGUUGGGGGUAUUCGUAUUCCAUUGUCAGAGGUGAAAUUCUUGGAUUUUUGGAAGACGAACUACUGCGAAAGCAUUUACCAAGGAUGUUUNCAUUAA